rnacentral:tRNA from 1 species
GUCAGUAUGGUAUAGUGGUUAGCAUGUGCACUUUGGUUUUAAGGUCCUGGGUUCAAUUCCCAGAGCUGCCA